ACAUCGGUGGGUCAACGGUAGAAUGCUCGCAUGCCACGCGGGUGGCCCAGAUUCGAUUCCCGGCCGAUGCA
rfam:Nippostrongylus brasiliensis genome assembly, scaffold: NBR_scaffold0000695